rnacentral:rRNA from 1 species
GUCUACGGUCAUUAUCACCCUGAACGCCACCCGAUCUCGUCUGAUCUCAUAAGCCGAAGCAGGGUCGGGCCUGGCUUAUAACUUGGAUGGGAGACCGCCUGGGAAUACCGGGUGCUGUAUGCU